CACGUAGGGGGCAAGCGUUGUCCGGAUUUAUUGGGCGUAAAGAGCUCGUAGGCUGUUCGAUAAGUCGGGUGUGAAACCUCCAGGCUCAACCUGGAGACGCCACCCGAUACUGUCAUGACUAGAGUCCGGUAGGGGAGCGUGGAAUUCCUGGUGUAGCGGUGAAAUGCGCAGAUAUCAGGAGGAACACCAAUGGCGAAGGCAGCUCGCUGGGACGGUACUGACGCUGAGACGCGAAAGCGUGGGGAGCGAACAGG
rnacentral:rRNA from 1 species